rnacentral:snRNA from 1 species
AAGGGAAAUUCAUCUGUAGCAUCUCUUACUCCAUUGAUUGCCAGGGUCGAUUCAGCUGAUCUGACUGUCUAGGUGAUUGUUCCCUCCCUCUUUCACUACUCCAUGUAUAUCCCUCCUGAAACUGCAUGCUUGGUCAAAGAUGACCACCUUCUCUGAUAGAAAGGACAAUUCAUCUGUGAAAGAUUUAUUAGUAGCUGAACUCUCCUACUAGGACCUCCAAUCAAGCUCUUUCUUUCUCCUAAUUUGGGGUUUGGAUUAUUCUUAUUUAUCUAAGACUUUGGUGUUCAUCAUUAGGUUAUUUAUUUGAGAUAUCUGUGA